CACAGCUGUCUCCAACUCAGGCCAAAGUCAGGGUGAAUGGUGGAAAGUACGCUGAGCUGGGAUCGGCUUUGAAAGCAGGGCAAGACCCACAUGCUGAAAAUGGAAUGCUGGGCCUGGUGGAUGGUUUGGGAACUUUCCACUGCAGUGCCUGGGAAUGUGGAAUCUCCUGGGCCCUCACUGAGCCAUUACUCUCACCAGCCUGCUAAGCAGCCCUCAGGCUGCCCUCCCUCCAGCCAGUGCCUGAAGACACAGAGGAAGAAAAAUAAAACCAGCCCUUGCUGGAAUGGGAGGCCGGCUCUGCUCCGGAGGAGCCGC
rnacentral:lncRNA from 1 species